CUGAAAGGCAACUGGAGACCUGCAGGCACCUAAAGGCAAGAGAUCAAGGAAGAGGAACACGAUAAAAUGCUUAUGGCUCCAAGAAGAAAUAGGGUGAGAGAUAGGACCACAAAUUGUUUACUCAUUUCAACCAGUAAACAUGUCCUGCAAUGUCAAUCUGUCUUUCUGCCACAGCAGUUCUGCGCCUCCUGAGUUGUUUCCAUCUCCCUCCAGUCAUUCAGGACCACCAAUGAGAUUUGUGAUAUUUGGAAAACUGCCACCCAGUGCCUCCUUUUCCUAAUCUGCUGAAUAAAGUUAAUAAGACUAUCCUAUGUUGCCAUCAUUUGUUUUGGGGAUUCAUGGGUUAGGUGAUACUUAAUAUAUAUGGAAAGUGUUUGAAUAAUGUUUUAUGGAGACUUGUCAAAAACAUAUAUUUUGAGGUUUUUUUAAAUAUUGCCAUUCAAACAGAAAAAAAACUUCUCUGUAUAUAAAACCUUAUCAAGAGAUUCAACUGUAUUUUAUCAGCACAGAAACAACAAGGGUUGUCUAUAAAUUCUUACUUCAAUGCCUCAUUAUCUGUUUUUUUUUUCACCACCAACUUGAUGCCAGAUAGGUUUAUCUCAUCACUCCUCUGAAUUUGCUUUAGAAAUCACAGUGACUUCCAUCUUGCCUUCAUCCUCAUCUUAUCAGAUGUGUCAGAACCCUUUGAGGCUGUUGAUCACUUCCUCCUUCUCAAAACAUUCUUGGUUGUCCUCUUUACUCACCGACAUUAUUCUCCACUUUAGUUACAAGUGUCUCCCAUUUCUAAUCUCUAAAUGUUGAAAUCUCCCCCACACAGUCCUCAGCUCCAGUCUGCCUUCCAUGUUCACACACUCAGUGUCCUCACAUGGUUAUCCACAGCUAAUGACUUCUGCAUUUACAUCUUUAGGCUUGACAUUCCUAAGAGGUUGCCACUCAUAUCCUAAACUGCUUAUUCAAAUUUCACCUCAGGCAUUUAUUAAACAUCUAAAAGCACACAUGUCAAAAAGACACUCCCAACACUCAUCUCACCCUCAUCAUUUCCUUUAUCAAGACAAAAUUCAGGAGUGAUUGCAGAGGCACCACCGGUGUUGCUGCAGUCUCGCCUCUGAUUAUUAAUGCAAGUAAUAAAGGUCGUUAAA
rnacentral:lncRNA from 10 species